rnacentral:rRNA from 1 species
UACGGGAGCAGCAGUGGGGAAUAUUGCACAAUGGGCGCAAGCCUGAUGCAGCCAUGCCGCGUGUAUGAAGAAGGCCUUCGGGUUGUAAAGUACUUUCAGUCGUGAGGAAGGUGUUAAGGUUAAUAACCUUAGCAAUUGACGUUAGCGACAGAAGAAGCACCGGCUAACUCCGUGCCAGCAGCCGCGGUAAUACGGAGGGUGCGAGCGUUAAUCGGAAUUACUGGGCGUAAAGGGCACGCAGGCGGUUAAUUAAGUUGGAUGUGAAAUCCCCGGGCUUAACCUGGGAAUGGCAUUCAAGACUGGUUAGCUAGAGUCUUGUAGAGGGGGUAGAAUUCCAUGUGUAGCGGUGAAAUGCGUAGAGAUGUGGAGGAAUACCGGUGGCGAAGGCGGCCCCUGGACAAAGACUGACGCUCAUGUGCGAAAGCGUGGGGAGCAAACAGGGAUUAGAUACC